rnacentral:rRNA from 1 species
CUACGGGAGGCUGCAGUGGGGAAUAUUGCACAAUGGAGGAAACUCUGAUGCAGCAACGCCGCGUGGAGGAUGACACUUUUCGGAGCGUAAACUCCUUUUAUAUAGGAAGAAGAUGACGGUACUAUAUGAAUAAGCGCCGGCUAACUCCGGGCCAGCAGCCGCGGUAAUACGGAGGGCGCAAGCGUUACUCGGAAUCACUGGGCGUAAAGAGCGUGUAGGCGGAUUAAAAAGUCAGAAGUGAAAUCCUAUAGCUUAACUAUAGAACUGCUUCUGAAACUCUUAAUCUAGAAUGUGGGAGAGGUAGAUGGAAUUUCUGGUGUAGGGGUAAGAUCCGUAGAGAUCAGAAGGAAUACCGAUUGCGAAGGCGAUCUACUAGAACAUUAUUGACGCUGAGACGCGAAAGCGUGGGGAGCAAACAGGAUUAGAUACCCGAGUAGUC